rnacentral:rRNA from 1 species
AUUGAACGCUGGCGGCAGGCCUAACACAUGCAAGUCGAGCGGAUGACGGGAGCUUGCUCCUUGAUUCAGCGGCGGACGGGUGAGUAAUGCCUAGGAAUCUGCCUGGUAGUGGGGGACAACGUGUCGAAAGGAACGCUAAUACCGCAUACGUCCUACGGGAGAAAGCAGGGGACCUUCGGGCCUUGCGCUAUCAGAUGACCCUAGGUCGGAUUAGCUAGUAGGUGAGGUAAUGGCUCACCUAGGCGACGAUCCGUAACUGGUCUGAGAGGAUGAUCAGUCACACUGGAACUGAGACACGGUCCAGACUCCUACGGGAGGCAGCAGUGGGGAAUAUUGGACAAUGGGCGAAAGCCUGAUCCAGCCAUGCCGCGUGUGUGAAGAAGGUCUUCGGAUUGUAAAGCACUUUAAGUUGGGAGGAAGGGCAGUAAGCUAAUACCUUGCUGUUUUGACGUUACCGACAGAAUAAGCACCGGCUAACUCUGUGCCAGCCGCCGCAGUAAUAC